CACCGGGGGAACGCAGUUAAUAAGAGAGGUCAAGAUUCUGUAUUUAUCACCUUUGCUGAACAACGUUUAAUGGCUUCUUUGUUUCAGAAGUAUUAGGCUUGAGUCCAGAAUAAGGUAUAUGGGGCACUGGAUUGAGAUUGAAGCUAUGGGGUUCCUGAAAUGUUGCAUGUCACCCAGAAAAGAGUAGGACUCCAACCAACUUCAGAUGGACCGUCCUCAGUAAGAACAUUGGAAAAGUACACGUUAGCAUCAACUCUAGGAAUUUGGGUAAUAGACAUCUAGGAAGACAGUUCUAUUAAAGAAAAAUAAAUCCCUCAGAGCUUUCAACAUUAUUAAGGAAAACAAAG